GGAUUUCCUUAGUAGCGGCGAGCGAACAGGAAAUAGCCCAGCACUGAAUCCCGCGGUUGUCACGGCCGCGGGAGAUGUGGUGUUCGGGAGGUUCCGCUUUCUCGUCGCCGCCUCACCUGUCCAAGUUCGUCUUGAACGGGGCCCCUUUCCCGUAGAGGGUGCCAGGCCCGUAGCGACGGUGGUCUGCGACGAGAGGGACUCUCCUCAGAGUCGGGUUGCUUGAGAGUGCAGCCCUAAGUGGGUGGUAAACUCCAUCUAAGGCUAAAUAUGACCGCGAGACCGAUAGCGAACAAGUACCGUGAGGGAAAGUUGACAAGAACUUUGAAGAGAGAGUUCAAGAGUACGUGAAACCGUUCAGGGGUAAACCUGCGAAACUCGAAUGAACGAACGGAGAGAUUCACCGUCACCCCGCGGAGCCCUGACGGCGUCUCGAUGCAGUUGGUCACGACCAGCGGCACGGUCGACGUUCGGUGACACCGCGGACGGCGUGCACUUCUCUCCCAGUAAGGCAUCGCGACCCGUUCGACGUCGGCCUAAGCGCCUGGCGGGAGACCUGAGGCCCAACGCCACAGGACCGCAUAGGAAGCCGACCGGCCGUCGGACGGUAUCUGAUAUGAAACGCGCACGCGUAUAAAAACGCGUCCGGUCCGACGCAAGGCAACGCAUCGUUCGACUACCUGCCGUAGUGCGGUCGUCGACGGUGCGCGCCUGCCGAUCGCCGCCGUGCAGUCUCGGACUGUGCGCGUCUCCGUCUGCGAUGAUUCUGUUUCGGGCACUCGCAGGA
rnacentral:rRNA from 1 species